rnacentral:rRNA from 1 species
UACGGGGGGGGCAAGCGUUGUUCGGAAUUACUGGGCGUAAAGGGCUCGUAGGUGGCCAACUAAGUCAGACGUGAAAUCCCUCGGCUUAACCGGGGAACUGCGUCUGAUACUGGAUGGCUUGAGAUUGGGAGAGGGAUGCGGAAUUCCGGGUGGAGUGGUGAAAUGCGUAGAGAUCCGGAGGAACACCAGAGGCGAAGGCGGCCUACUGGGCCAGUACUGACGCUGAGCCGCGAAAGCCAGGGGAGCGAACGGG